rnacentral:rRNA from 1 species
CCCGGAUGAGCCUAAUGGUAAAAAAUUUAUUGCCUGGAGAUGAGCUCGCGUCUGAUUAGCUAGUUGGUGGGGUAAAAGCCUACCAAGGCAACGAUCAGUAGCUGGUCUGAGAGGAUGAGCAGCCACACUGGGACUGAGACACGGCCCAGACUCCUACGGGAGGCAGCAGUGGGGAAUUUUCCGCAAUGGGCGAAAGCCUGACGGAGCAAGACCGCGUGGGGGAGGAAGGCUUUAGGGUUGUAAACCCCUUUUCUUUGGGAAGAAGAAAAUGACGGUACCAAAGGAAUCAGCCUCGGCUAACUCCGUGCCAGCAGCCGCGGUAAUACGGAGGAGGCAAGCGUUAUCCGGAAUGAUUGGGCGUAAAGCGUCCGCAGGUGGCCAUGUAAGUCUGCUGUCAAAACCCAGGGCUCAACUCUGGUCAGGCAGUGGAAACUACAAAGCUAGAGUUCGGUAGGGGCAAAGGGAAUUCCCGGUGUAGCGGUGAAAUGCGUAGAGAUCGGGAAGAACAUCGGUGGCGAAA